CAUAGACCAUACAUGUAUAUAUGAGACAAAAUAUAUUGCAUUCAAGAACAAAAAGGGCACUAUAUUUUUUACAUGUUAUAGUUUGUCUUUAUAUGCUUUGAUAUAUUGCAAUAUAUGCAUGAAACAUACAUUUAUAUAUGAUACAAAAUAUAUUGCAAUCAAGAACAAAAAGGGCACUAUAUUUAUAUAUAUAUAUAUAUAUAUAUAUAUAUAAAAUGCUCGAGUAGGAAGCUGAGAUUCAGGCGCGAAGAGAGGACAGGAUGCGUAACAGACACCAGCAACAAGGAGGCUGAUAGAUAGGUCCUGACCUAUGAUCCUGACCCACACUCCUAAUCAGUAGGUGGCGGUAAUGCCACUAAAAGUUGUUUGCCAACUGCCAGUAAAACUCAAGAAGAAGAAGAAGAAGAAGGCUGAUGUCAGCAGGCUCCAAGGAAACUUCAAGUUUUAAAAGAUGCUGUUUUAAAACAGUUUCCUAUAAGGCCAAGGAAGCUGAUGUCAGAAAAUCUAUCAACAGUAGUAUCUGCGAGCUAAUGGCAUUAAGACACCAAGUGAAGAGCAAAAGCAUGGGUAUGUAAGUGGUUUACAUCAGUGAAGAACCAAGGUGGACUCCUCACCAGGAUAAUGGACUGUUCUUUUGGCAAAUGUUUUUUUUUUUUUGCUUUUUCACGGUUCCCAAAACUUCUUGAAAGUUUGUUUAUUAUUUAUUUGUUCAUUAUUGUCUGUGCAUUUUGUUUAUUGAUAUUGUCUUUAUAUUGUAUAAUUGCACUGCUGAAAUUUUGAAAUAAUUUAAGUCGCUUCAAUUUAUAUUUUGUAUAUUUUUUGUUUAAUGGCACUCUUUUAAAAUGUAAUUUAUGUAAAUGCAAUGCAACACAUUUAUGUAAUGUAAUGUAAAGCCAAUCACAUUUCCUUUGACUGACCAUAUGCAAAACCUCUUGUGGUUUUAAUAGGCCUAUAGAGCUCUGUACCUCAAAUUGGGUUUAGUAUCUGUGCCUGAUUAAAAGAAAAUAAAGGUGGCUUUUGAUAGAUUA